rnacentral:rRNA from 1 species
AGUGAACGCUGGCGGUAGGCCUAACACAUGCAAGUCGAACGGCAGCACAGUAAGAGCUUGCUCUUACGGGUGGCGAGUGGCGGACGGGUGAGGAAUACAUCGGAAUCUACUUUUUCGUGGGGGAUAACGUAGGGACACUUACGCUAAUACCGCAUACGACCUACGGGUGAAAGCAGGGGAUCUUCGGACCUUGCGCGAUUGAAUGAGCCGAUGUCGGAUUAGCUAGUUGGCGGGGUAAAGGCCCACCAAGGCGACGAUCCGUAGCUGGUCUGAGAGGAUGAUCAGCCACACUGGAACUGAGACACGGUCCAGACUCCUACGGGAGGCAGCAGUGGGGAAUAUUGGGCAAUGGGCGCAAGCCUGAUCCAGCCAUACCGCGUGGGUGAAGAAGGCCUUCGGGUUGUAAAGCCCUUUUGUUGGGAAAGAAAAGCAGCAGGUUAAUACCCCGCUGUUCUGACGGUACCCAAAGAAUAAGCACCGGCUAACUUCGUG